AACGCUAGCUACAGGCUUAACACAUGCAAGUCGAGGGGCAUCAGGAAGAAAGCUUGCUUUCUUUGCUGGCGACCGGCGCACGGGUGAGUAACACGUAUCCAACCUGCCCUUUACUCGGGGAUAGCCUUUCGAAAGAAAGAUUAAUACCCGAUGGCAUAAUGAUUCCGCAUGGUUUCAUUAUUAAAGGAUUCCGGUAAAGGAUGGGGAUGCGUUCCAUUAGGUUGUUGGUGAGGUAACGGCUCACCAAGCCUUCGAUGGAUAGGGGUUCUGAGAGGAAGGUCCCCCACAUUGGAACUGAGACACGGUCCAAACUCCUACGGGAGGCAGCAGUGAGGAAUAUUGGUCAAUGGGCGCUAGCCUGAACCAGCCAAGUAGCGUGAAGGAUGAAGGCUCUAUGGGUCGUAAACUUCUUUUAUAUAAGAAUAAAGUGCAGUAUGUAUACUGUUUUGUAUGUAUUAUAUGAAUAAGGAUCGGCUAACUCCGUACCAGCAGCCGCGGUAAUACGGAGGAUCCGAGCGUUAUCCGGAUUUAUUGGGUUUAAAGGGAGCGUAGGUGGACUGGUAAGUCAGUUGUGAAAGUUUGCGGCUCAACCGUAAAAUUGCAGUUGAUACUGUCAGUCUUGAGUACAGUAGAGGUGGGCGGAAUUCGUGGUGUAGCGGUGAAAUGCUUAGAUAUCACGAAGAACUCCGAUUGCGAAGGCAGCUCACUGGACUGCAACUGACACUGAUGCUCGAAAGUGUGGGUAUCAAACAGGAUUAGAUACCCUGGUAGUCCACACAGUAAACGAUGAAUACUCGCUGUUUGCGAUAUACAGUAAGCGGCCAAGCGAAAGCAUUAAGUAUUCCACCUGGGGAGUACGCCGGCAACGGUGAAACUCAAAGGAAUUGACGGGGGCCCGCACAAGCGGAGGAACAUGUGGUUUAAUUCGAUGAUACGCGAGGAACCUUACCCGGGCUUAAAUUGCAGUGGAAUGAUGUGGAAACAUGUCAGUGAGCAAUCACCGCUGUGAAGGUGCUGCAUGGUUGUCGUCAGCUCGUGCCGUGAGGUGUCGGCUUAAGUGCCAUAACGAGCGCAACCCUUAUCUUUAGUUACUAACAGGUUAUGCUGAGGACUCUAGAGAGACUGCCGUCGUAAGAUGUGAGGAAGGUGGGGAUGACGUCAAAUCAGCACGGCCCUUACGUCCGGGGCUACACACGUGUUACAAUGGGGGGUACAGAAGGCAGCUAGCGGGUGACCGUAUGCUAAUCCCAAAAGCCUCUCUCAGUUCGGAUCGAAGUCUGCAACCCGACUUCGUGAAGCUGGAUUCGCUAGUAAUCGCGCAUCAGCCACGGCGCGGUGAAUACGUUCCCGGGCCUUGUACACACCGCCCGUCAAGCCAUGGGAGCCGGGGGUACCUGAAGUACGUAACCGCAAGGAUCGUCCUAGGGUAAAACUGGUGACUGGGG
rnacentral:rRNA from 1 species